CCUACGGGAGGCAGCAGUGGGGAAUUUUGGACAAUGGGCGCAAGCCUGAUCCAGCCAUGCCGCGUGAGUGAAGAAGGCCUUCGGGUUGUAAAGCUCUUUCGGCGGGGAAGAAAAGGUUCGUGCUAAUACCACGAACUAAUGACGGUACCCGAAGAAGAAGCACCGGCUAACUACGUGCCAGCAGCCGCGGUAAUACGUAGGGUGCAGGCGUUAAUCGGAAUUACUGGGCGUAAAGCGUGCGCAGGCGGUUUGUUAAGACAGAUGUGAAAUCCCCGGGCUUAACCUGGGAACUGCGUUUGUAACUGGCAAGCUAGAGUGUGGCAGAGGGGGGUGGAAUUCCAAGUGUAGCAGUGAAAUGCGUAGAUAUUUGGAGGAACACCGAUGGCGAAGGCAGCCCCCUGGGCUAACACUGACGCUCAUGCACGAAAGCGUGGGGAGCAAACAGGAUUAGAUACCCUGGUAGUCCACGCCCUAAACUAUGCCAAUUGGUUGUCGGGGAAGCAAUUCCUUGGUAACGAAGCUAACGCGUGAAGUUGACCGCCUGGGGAGUACGGCCGCAAGGUUAAAACUCAAAGGAAUUGACGG
rnacentral:rRNA from 1 species